CCUGAGGCCUGUUUCAGGUAGCUGGUUUAACAUACUCCGAGUUUAAUCCUGCGCUCUGAGUUGGUUGACUCAGAGUUCAGGGUUGAAAAGCAACUCUGGGUUUUCGGUUUCAGAACAGGUGAUCAGCGUUGGGUUAAUCAACUCUGAGUAUGUUCACUCUGGGUUGAGGGCGUGCCUGUUGACUAUGAAGAGCCAUCAUCAAUGGAUCUCUGAUAACAUGAUCAAACAUGGACCAAAAGCGUAGAUCCACUUACUUUUCCCCCACGGAAUUGGAAAUUCUAAUGAACGUGUAUGCCGAGCAGUUACCCAUUUUAACAAAAAAAAGCAAUACCGCCGCGGCAGCGAGAGCGCGAGAGAGAGCUUGGCAGGAAAUAGCUGAACAAGUCAAUGCGUGAGUCAAAUAAAUUAGUAAAAUAAAAUUAAAUAAGAGGAAAGUUUAAUAUCUUCCACUUAUUCAAUAUGUAAAUUGUGUGUGUGUGUGUGUGUGUGUGUGUGUGUGUGUGUGUGUGUGUGUGUGUGUGUGUGUGUGUGUGUGUGUGUGUGUGUGUGUGUGUGUGUGUGUGUGUCAAUUUACGCAACCCCGAGUUGCCCCACGAGGACUUGGCAGCAAAUGAAGUACAAAAAUAUAGUUUAAACAGCAAAUCGAAAAAAUGCAGAGGCCCGGCAGACUGGAGGGGGUCCACCACCUGCAGCCCUCAGAGGCUGAGGAGAUGGCCCUCAGCCAACAGAGUAUGGGUCCUGUGGCUGAGGGCAUCCCUGAGGGGAGCUCCUCUGAUCCCCCCCACCCCCCAGGAUAGAAGUGCCUUUACAGUAUAAGAGGUUGGUUAUUCAAAAUAAUUAAAUAUGUACACGCAACCCAGCGCGUUGCAAAUUAGAUGGGGCAAUAUUCUGGCUCAAGUAAUAAUUGCACUGUCUAAUCAUCUUCUUCCAGUUACUGAUGGCGUCAUCGCCCUACUUGAACCAGAUGCCCUCACCAACCUCCAUGCAAUUGUAACAAUUCAAAAGAUGCAAAAGGAUGCUUUGGAGAUCCAAAUUUUGGAACAUAAGUUAUAGG